AACGAAACCAUGAACCGAUCCAACCAUCCAAAAUGGAUCAAUAGGAAAGUAAUGUUGUAGAUCAAGGUCAAGUUUUGGAUCAUGACAAUAUGAAUGAGUAUCCUCAUCUUCAAAUUUCAAGAACUUAAUGGUGUCGGUACUAGAAGGCUCAUCAGAGCUGAAUUGGUUGAUGAUGAUGCUGGCUGGAGAUGUUAAACAUGAUAGUUUUAAAAAUUCGGAAUCUAAGGUUAGGUUUAGAAAAGAUUUGGAGACGCUUUUGAAGUAUAAGAGUGUGGUGGGAGGUAAUCUAGAGAUAAUUUCAAACAAGAUUGGAGAUGGAAGAUCCACCAGUGAUGUUGCUUCAUCAAUACUCAUUUCUUACAACUCUUUGGAUAAUGAAACAUGUACCAGAAAUGUUGUGUCCAAAAUGUUUUUAACAAGUUAGCUAGCUGAAUUGUUCAACACUUUGGAAGAAUAUUCAACAUUACGUAUGCCAUAUUUAUUGAAUUGAAUUUUCAACCUUUCGCUUUCAAGAUCAAUGGUCAAAAGUCUAGAAUUUGAGUUAUCAGCUUUGCUUGCCAACAUGACUUGGUCUUGCAGGCUUACUGUCCCUAAGGACCAAUGCUAAUAACUUGGUUAGAAUAAUUGGGAAUACAUGUUUUUUCUUGUCCUAAUUUAGAGAUAUUUACUUUAUGUAGUGUAAUGCCAACAUCCUGCCUAUGGAAAGGCCCAUGAAGGGUCGGGUUGGCCUGAAUCAGAGUCAUAAUCAAACAUGACGCCUACUUAGUGGGCUUGAUUAAGAAAUAAAGUUGCGACUUUGCUAUCAGCUGUAGGUUUUUGCAUAACCAAAUUACUUUUAAUUCAAAGCAAAGAAUUGCAGUUGACAUGAGUAAAUAUAUAAAACAGAAUGGUAACAAUAUACUAUAGAAGUACGAUACACACCUUUUUGACAAUAAUCUAAAAGACAUUCACAACCUCUACUUCAAAAUUCUUGAGAGAUAAGGAGCUUGAUACAUGCCCACAUGCCAACAAGUUCCCUUCACAGACAUCAAGCAUUUUCAAAGUUUUCUUCACAGGAUGGUGCAAGAACAAGAAAUCGUCACGCCACAAGAACAACACUUGUCCAUCCUCCAAAACUUUCAACAGAUUAAUCAUUUCAUAGGACAACCAAUCGUUGUAUUCAGGAGCAUUGUUUAUGACAAUCUGUUUAACCCAUGAAUCAGUAACUCCAUAUUCUUUCAUCACCCAUACCUCAAAAUGAGUAUCUGCAUUAUUAUCACAUACACAUAAACAACGUCCAAACACUCCCAAACUUCGUAAAUUUGGACAAUUUUCCUUACUGUACCCUGGAGCAGCAGUUGGGAAUGAUUCAAACAACUCAUUCUCCAAAUUAAACGAACACAUUAACUCAUUUCCAUUAGCAUCAGAAACCAACCAAUGAAUCUUUCCAUAUAGAUUCACCCCAUAUGCCCUGCAUCCAAAACAGAACAUGACAUGUUCUACACUACUUCUCCAAUACCCUAAUUUCCCAAUUGUGUAAACUUGAGCUUCAGACUUGUAAUAACGAAAACCAUUAGUAUCGCGAAUUUCCUCUUGAUAAAUUCUAACCACUUUGUAGUCGAACCUAACAGGAUCGAAAGCAAAGCCAUAAGUAACUAAAUUAGGCCACUUUCUUACACGUUGUGGCUGAGGAAGGAUGAUAUAUUCUCUGGUUGUUGGAUUGAGGAUGUAAAUACUAUCAACAUCACCGAAAAAGUGAUUAAAACAAACGAAACCAUGGACCGAUCCAACUAGGAAAACUGGAUCAACAGGAAAGUAAAGUUGCAGAUCAAGGUCAACAAUUGGAUCAUGAUCAAAGUUGUUAUCGACUACGAAUUUCAAAAACGUUAAGGUGUUGGUCCUAUUAGAGUGGAAUUGGUGGAUGAUGAUGCUGGCUGGAGAUGCUGAACGUGACAGUUUUGUAAAUUCGGAAUCUAAGGUUAGAUUUAGAAAAGAUUUGGAGACGGUUUUGACGUAUAGGAGUGUGGUAGGAGGUAAUGUAGAGAGAAUUUGUAACAAGAUUGGAGAUGGAAGAUCCAUCAGGGAUGUUGCUUUACUUCACUCAUUUCUUACAAAAAGUCUUAGCGCUGAUAUUUUGCUAUUUAUAGCAAGUGGCUCGGUGAGUUUGAUCAUAAAAAUUAUUCAUAUUUCAACUCUAUCUUCUAUAUUUAAGUAUAAUAUUCAAACAGUUUUCCGGUCAAACUUGCACAACACGCAUUCAGUAUUAAAGGUAAACAAACAGUUAUAUUGUGGCAACAUGACAAGAGUAAAGCGCAAGCAUAUUUGAAAUAAAAAGACUAUUAUAUAUUGUCUUUAAUUUGACUAUCGAUUAAAUAAAAAGAGAAUGUUAUCAACUUAUUUGCAAGCAAAGUUCAUUUAUUAAUUUCCAAUUACCUUAAGUUUCCAUCAAGAGUACGUUCAGUGGGUCUCAUGUGUAUACGUUCAGGUAAGGGAAUGCACCAAGCUCAAAAAAAGGAUCUUUAGCCCCAUUUCUUGUUGUUUUUCUGAGUUCUAUCGAUUAUUUUCAAUCUCGUUUCAUUCUCUUAUUAAUUUGAUCUAAAUAUCAUGUCUACGUCCUUUACCUUUCCAAAAAAUGCCUUUGUUCUACAUUAUUAAUGGUAGAAUAAAAUAUAUCUCGAUUGAACUAAUAUAUUCAAUUUUAAUAUGAUUUUUAUUAACGAAAAAGUAUGUGAUUACAUAAUUUUUAUUCUUUUUAUAUAUAUAUAUACUAGAUUCACUGCACGUGCGUUGCACGUGUAGGCUAAGUCCUGAGAUCCCUAUACACGAGAUAUUUUAUCUUUUAAUGUAUAUUUUAGGUUUUCAACAUAUCAAUAUAUAUUUAAUAUUGCACUACGUCAUACUAAGUGAAUGGCNNNNNNNNNNNNNNNNNNNNNNNNNNNNNNNNNNNNNNNNNNNNNNNNNNNNNNNNNNNNNNNNNNNNNNNNNNNNNNNNNNNNNNNNNNNNNNNNNNNNUGUUUCCGAAUAAAUUUAAAAGGGUAUCCUUCAUUUUAGCGGGGGGAAGGGAGUGAUAGUUGUAUUGUUAGAGUAAACACUUGGCUUGUAGCAUAUUGACAUGUUGUUUUUUUUUGCAUGUAUUACAUUCUCGUCAGAGCCUCUACAAAUCAACCAUGUCCCAUUGCAUAAGCCAUUUGAGGGGUCCAAUUUUCUCAGCAGCAUGAUGGGUGCAUUUUCUUUCAAAACUAACCUAAUGUAUAAAAUUAACAAAAUUAUCAAUUGUUAUGUAUAUGUAAUAGGGUAAUUCUUUUCUUCUCUUUCGUGCUAUUAAGUAUCACAAUAAGAUAACUGUAAAAGUUAGGAUGAAUUAGACAACGUCCCUAUGCGGCGGAGUCCAUUGGGUGUUAAGGUGUUUAGGUAUAAAUACAAUUCAUAUCUUUACUGAGGUCGAUUCUAUGUAGUCUUGCACGCUACAACCUAGUAAAUAUUUGGCCGCUUCAAAUAGUAUAGCUCGGGCACGUUGUUCUCCACCACACACUUCAAGUCGUAAGCAAUAUCUGUUUAAAAAGGGGAGUCAUUUAAAAGUUAAAGUUAAUUUGUUUUCUAAUUAGUAAAUGUAGAAUCGAUUUUUUACUAAGUCUAACCUCAUUUCAUAUUCUACGUCGCAAUUGUUAAUUCUAAGCGUUAUUGUGUAUUAGUACCAUUGAUGAGGGCGACAAAUGGUCAAGAUCAGCAUGAUUAGGCAGGAAUUUGAUGCAUAAAAGAGGGUAUCAUUAAGAUGUAAAGUGCGGCUAAACUAAGGUUAGAAGUAACAUAUAUAUGUAAAGUAUGUGUUUAAAAUAGCCAGGGGACUGUAUAUGAUCAGGUGAACCAAUAAUAGGCUGUAUAAGUAAUGCUUCACGGGGAAGAAACAAAGUUAAUUAGUGGUGUAAAGUAUGUGUUUACAAUUUCCAGGGGACUGUAUGCAAGCAUGUGAACUAAUUAUUAUAUAUUUGCAUUAAUAAAAAUAUUUAUCUCAUAAAAUUAGCUAUUAAAUAAAUAAUAAAAAUUAAACUAAUACAAACUUAGACUUGCGUUAUUACAAGUCAUAUGAACUUUUCUUUGUCUAAAAUACAAAAAAUAUUAAGAAAUAGUAAAUAAGUUAAACAAAAGGUCAAUGUUUACAUAGUAAUAACUAUUUUGAAGAAAACUUUCUAAGAGUCUAAAUCACAUAAGUAGCAUUGAUAAAUAAAGUAAUUCUUUUGUCGUGAGCGUCAAAAACAAAUCGUGACAAUUCUCUAAAUUUUGAAAAAAGAUAUUCAGAAGCAUAUAUCUACAUCACAAGAGAAAUUGUUAAUAAAAACAAAUGAAUUUAGACUACAUAAUACAUGUUAACUUCAUUUAUUGGAACAUUACAUACUAAUGUAUAUAUUAAGCAAAAAAAUAAUUAUUAUUUCAUAAAAAUUAUACUUAUUAUUUUCCUCAAGUACUCGAUGUUAUGAAAUAUACCUUCUAAGAUGGAACGACUUACUUCAUCAGAAUAGUGGUACCUCAUAUUCUGCUAAACUUCGAACUCACUCAACGAUAAUAAAUCACACAAAAAAUUUUAAAAUGCAAGAAGAAGAAGAGGAAUAGAAGAUUAGAAAAAAAUAUGGUUGAAAAAUGAGAGAAAGUCCCUCUAUUUAUAAUCAACAAAAGAUAGUAUGAACAAAUGUUUUUUGUUUCUUAUCUGAAAAAUCAUGACCUUUUCGAGAAAUCACAACACUUUGAAAAAAGACACAACUUUUUUGAAAAAGUCACAAUUCUUUGGAAAAGUCUCAACUUAUUGAAAAUGUCACAACUUUUUGGAAAAGUCACAACGCACCGAAAAAUCACAAUCCUUUGAAAAAAAUCACAACUCGUCGAAAAAGUCACAGGUCGUCGAAAAAGUCACAACCUAAGUUAGAGCUAUUAUAUUUAAAAAACAAUUUGAAAUAUCUUAUAUAUGUUAUGAACAUAUAUCAUUUAUAAUUUAUUUAUGAAAAUAAAAACGUUCAAGACGAAGAUAUUUAUUGAGUUUUUAUGUAUAUGAGUGUCUCACAAUUCAGACUAGAAAUGUUACUGUCUCUUUCUUAUAGGCCAAAAUAGUAAAUUUUGAAGCUUUAUUCACAAUAAAUUUAGUGUUUGAAAGUUUGGUAUUUUUUUUUAACUAAAAGACUAGAAAUUUCUAUAAUGUUAGUUGUUUUAACUAUUUUUUGUUUUGGAUAAAUUAUUAUCUAUUUUCCCUCUUUAAAAUGAAUCGUUUUUUAAAUUUUUGUGUAUGAUUAAUAACUAAACCAAGCCCAACUGAAACCAUUAACACAAACCGAGCUAUUUGCUAAAGUUCCCCAAUAUAUAUUAUAUUUAACUUAAUUUGAAUAAGUUAACAAUCAAUUAAUUUAAUUUAAUUUAAUUUUAAAUUUUAACCAAUAAUCGACCCAAAUUAACAUGGGAACACCCCUUGCCUACAGUCCUACACAGAUAAACAGACAGUGAAAAACACGUUUGGAUAAAGAAAAAAGAGUACAUUUUCCGUUCAAUCAUUCGGUAAUUUCCAGUAAAUUUUCAUGAUUUCAAAUGUUGGUUGAUUAAUCCCUCUAUUACAUAUUAACUGAAUUGUGAGAAAAUAUAUAUUGAUUCAGAAAAACAUUCAACAGUAUAAUUUAUCUCCCACAAAAUAUUGAACUUUAUUAAAGGAAUACACAAAUAUAAAAAAAAUUCAAAUAUCCAAAAAAAAAAAGCCCAAAAAUUGAGUUAAUAUGGAAUGGUAAGAGUAUGAUUUAGAGGCUCAGAUCUGCAAAGAGAUCAGGACGAAAGAGAGGCGACCACGCCAUGGCUGCAAAAUCAUCAACCAUCUGGUGAUUUGCUAAGCCAAGAUACGGAUCUGAUAGUCUCCAUCACCGCCUCUAAUUUUAUGCAAAAUCAACCAACAUACAUGCAGAGAGUAACAGAGACAAAAAAGACCAGAUUAUUGGCAAGUUGAGGAAUAUAGUAGUAUAUGUAUAUUUGCCAUUUCAAUGAUCCAGUAAUUUCCCAGAAAUUAACAUGAAUCCAAGGGUUGUUGCUUCUUCUUUUUUGGGGAAAAAUCAUUGGCUAAACAAGAGAGGGGCAACCACCCUUGUUAACAAAAUUCCUAAACUCUCUGUUUUGCCUCUUUUUUUUGUUUUUGUUUUCUGGGAUAACUUUUUCUUUGCUGGAAAAGUUGUUUGGUUCUCAAUACACACUUUUUUUAACAAUAAUCUAAAAGACAUUCAUAACCUCUGCUUCAAAGUUCUUGAGAGAAAAGGAGCUUGAUACAUGGCUAGAUGCCAAGAAGUUCCCUUCACAUACAUCAAGCCUUUUCAAAGUUUUCUUCACAGGAUGGUGCAAGAACAAGAAAUCAUCGCGCCACAAGAACAACACCUCUCCAUCAUCCAAAACUUUCAACAGAUUAAUCAUUUCAUAGCACAACCAAUAAUUGUUGCAUUCAGGAGAAAUGUUUAUCACAAUCUGUUUAACCCAUGAAUCAGUAACUCCGUAUUCUUUCAUCACCCAUACCUCAAAAUGAGUAUCUGCAUUAUUAUCACACACACAUAAACAACGUCCAAACUUCGUAAAUUUGGACAAUUUUCCUUACUGUACCCUGGAGCAGCAGUUGGGAAUGAUUCAAACAACUCAUUCUCCAAAUUAAACGAACAUAUUAACUCAUUUUGAUUAGCAUCAGAAACCAACCAAUGAAGUUUUCCAUAUAGAUUCACCCUGUAUGCCCUGCAUCCAAAACAGAACAUGAUAUGUUCUACACUAUUUCUCCAAUACCCUUUCCCAAUUGUGUAAACUUGAGCUUCAGACUUGUAAUAACGAAAACCAUUAGUAUCAUCAUCGUGAAUCUCCUCUUGGUAAAUUCUUACCACUUUGUACUCAAACCUAACAGGAUCGAAACCAAAGCCAUAAGUAACUAAAUUAGGCCAUUUUCGUACCCCUUGUGGCUGAGGAAUGAUGAUAUAUUCUCUGGUUGUUGGAUUGAGGAUGUAAAUACUAUCGACAUCACCGAAAAAGUUAUUAAAACAAACGAAACCAUGAACCGAUCCAACGAGGAAAAAUCGAUCAAUAGGAAAGUAAAGUUGUAGAUCAAUGUCAUCAAUUGGAUCAUGAUCAAAGUUAUCGACUACGAAUUUCAAAAACUUUAAGGUGUUGGUCCUAGGAGUUGUCCUAUUAGAGUGGAAUUGGUUGAUGAUGAUGCUGGCUGGAGAUGCUGAACGUGACAGUUUUGUAAAUUCGGAAUCUAAGGUUAGAUUUAGAAAAGAUUUGGAGAGGGUUUUGACAUAUAGGAGUGUGGUAGGAGGUAAUGUAGAGAGAAUUUGUAACAAGAUUGGAGAUGGAAGAUCCAUCAGGGAUGUUGCUUCUUCACUCAUUUCUUACAAAAGUCUUAGCGCUGAUAUUUUGCUAUUUAUAGCAAGUGGCUCGGUGAGUUUGAUCAUAAAAAUUAUUCAUAUUUGUUUUCUAACUUUAUUUAAAAAUCACUAUUUGAUUAUGAUUUUUCAACUCUAAUCUUCUAUAUUUAACUAUAAUAUUCAAACAGUUUUCCGGUCAAACUUGGACAACACGCAUUCAGUAUUAAAGGUAAACAGUUAUGUUUUGGCAACAUGACAAGAGUAAAGCGCAAGCAUAUUUGAAAUUAAAAAACUAUUAAAUAUUGUCUUUAAUUUGACUAUCGAUUAAAUAAAAAGAGAAUGUUAGCAACUUAUUUGCAAGCAAAGCUCAUUUAUUAAUUUCCAAUUAGCUUAAGUUUCCAUCAAGAGUACGUUCAGGUAAGGGAAUGCACCAAGCUCAAAAAAAGGAUCUUUAGCCCCAUUUCUCGUUGUUUUUCUGAGUUCAUCGAUUAUUUUCAAUCUCAUUUCAUUCUCUUAGUAAUUUGAUCUAAAUAUCAUGUCUACGAUCUUUACCUUUCCAAAAAAUGCCUUUAUUCUACAUUAAUGGUAUAAUAAAAUAUAUCUCAUUUGAACUAAUAUAUACAAUUUUAAUAUGAUUUUUAUUAACGAAAAAGUAUAUGAUUACAUAAUUUUUAUUCUUUAUAUAUAUAUAUAUACUAGAUUCACUGCACGUGCGUNNNNNNNNNNNNNNNNNNNNNNNNNNNNNNNNNNNNNNNNNNNNNNNNNNNNNNNNNNNNNNNNNNNNNNNNNNNNNNNNNNNNNNNNNNNNNNNNNNNNAAGUAAUUGUGCACGAAUUAACAGUUUGUCCUCUUAGCUAUGUCGUGUCAUGAACUAUAUGUUCCCUUUUAUUAUUUGAAAUUCAGUGUACCCUGUAUUUGAAUAACUUUAUAUACACAAAAGUAAUGUCUUCUGUGGUAGCUGUCUGGUGUUUUUCAUAUCAUCUCCUCUUCCACCAAACCUAAGAAUUCGUCCAAUAUAAUUUUCAUUAGGAACUGUAUGUUCCCUUUUGUUUUUUCCUGUUUGAUUUCUUACAAUUUUGGUAUUAAUCAAAUCUCACCCAAUACUUUCUUGUAGGCAGUAUUUCUUGUGUAUGUCCCGGUGCAUCAAUCUAGUUGUUCAGUCAUGACCUGCACUUUUUUUGUUGGAAUAGAUAUUCCUCUAGAUAGUGCAAUGUAGAUUUUGCCAUGCGAGAAAUCAUGUUGUGGUAGGUAUACUCCUACAUUUGACAUCGUUUGACCUUUAGCUUUUUUUUAUCAUCAUUGCAAAAACAUAAACGUAUUGGAAAUUGUUUCCGAAUAAAUUUAAAAGGGUAUCCUUCAUUUUCGCGGGGGAAGGGGGGGGGUGAUAGUUGUAUUGUUGGAGUAAACACCUGGUUUGUAGCAUAUUGACAUGUUGUUUUUUCUGUAUGUAUUACAUUUUCGUCAGUGCCUCUACAAAUCAACCAUGUCCCAUUGCAUAAGCCAUUUGAGGGGUCCAAUUUUCUCAACAGCUUGAUGGGUGCAUUUUCUUUCAAAACUAACCUAAUGUAUAAAAUUAACAAAAUUAUCAAUUGUUAUGUAUAUGUAAUCGGGUAAUUCUUUUCUUCUCUUUCGUGCUAUGAAGUAUCACAAUAAGAUAAUUGUAAAAGUUAUGAUGAAUUAGACAACGUACCUAUGCGGCGGAGUCCAUUGGGCGUUAAGGUGUUUAGGUAUAAAUACAAUUCAUAUCUUUACUGAGGUCGAUUCUAUGUAGUCUUGCACACUACAUCCUAGUAAAUAUUUAGCCGCUUCAAAUAGUAUAGCUCGGGCAUGUUGUUCUCCACCACACACUUCAAGUCGUAAGCAGUAUCUGUUUAAAAAGGGGAGUCAUUUUAAAGUUAAAGUUAAUUUGUUUUCUAAUUAGUAAAUGUAGAAUCGAUUUUUUACUAAGUCUAACCUCAUUUCAUAUUCUACAUUCUCAUCGUUGCAAUUGUUACACGAUACAAUAUGUUCUAUAACUUUCACUUUUUUGCUGCACUUUUUGCAAGAUGAAUACCACAACUCAUCUUUAUUGAGUAUGUCUAUAAUUGUUGCUUUGAACUUGUACAAACAAUCCUACACAUCGCCAAUAUAUCAUAUUUGUGAUUAUAUUUUGGAUAUUAAAAUGGUUAUUAUUUUUAGAGAGUGAAAGUGUAGGAUAUAUAGUAUGUACUUGUGAAUCAGCUAUCAAUCAAUCCAUAAUAUAUACCAACGGAACUUCUAUGGCUCUUCCCAUUUCCUUACUUGAUGUUACCAUAAAAUCUUUAUUUUCGGCCUUUAUCAUUUCACGCCUGUAUUUUUGAUGAGAUUAGUUAAUUGUAUCACCCAUUUUGAGUGAGAUGUCCUCGGUGCAAAGGUUUUGAGAACUUAAAAAUUUUAGUAUGCAAUAACCCAUCAAUGAUAAUAGAACAAUUGUGUCCUGUUAUAGGAACUUUAAAAGUAACCUGUACAAUGCAAAAGUAUAGUAUGCACAUUAAUUGUGACAAUCGGGUUUAGAUAACAUUGCAGAACAUAUGUGUGAUUAAUGUAAUGUAUCAGGUCUGUGAAUUUUUGAAAUUGUGGAUUGACAAGACGCUACUCAUGGAAAUAAUAGAUAUUUCAAAAGUGCCUAGCGUGACAAGAGCUUGUUUCAACUUUGAAACAACAACUAUACUCAGUUUAUUAUAAAAACACAAAGUAGUCUGUCAAAUACUUUUAUAGAUUGAGAUUCUAACGUCACAUAAGUCCAGUAUAGGUUUAUCAUCUUUCAUCUUUUCUAGAAAAGCACCGUCAUUUUUUGCAAAAUCUUCUCAUAGAGUAACAGUUGUAUUCUCCAUGCUGGGGCGAAAUGUGAAUACUUCACCAUAUCUCUAUAGUGGUGGUAUUUUACGCAUCUUUAAAACAUACUGCUCAUUUGUAACAACUAUCUCCCGUCUCUUGCUAUAUUUUUUUCAAUGAGAGGAUUCAUUAAAACUAAAACGCAAAUCAAAUCUUAGAAUAGGUAAUGUAAAUUAGUGAUAGCGAUUGCGUAAUGGAGCAUGAAAUUAAAUAACAAUUUUUUUGGAUGAAUAGUUACCUAGAAUAGCACCAUUAGGUAAUUUAUCGACAUAAUCCAAUGAUACAAAACCAACAGAGAAUCUGUGUGUUGAAACCUCAAUGUCAGUCGCCUUUAUGAUUGUGUUAUCUGUAAAUGUCAAUUCAACUUCUUUAUGUACGAAAUAGUAGUUGGGGUUGACGCGUACUAAGCGUCUUUUAGCAAUGUAGUAACUCUUAUUUGGUCUCAAGGAGUCCUUCCAUGUUUCGAUAUGCUUAUUAAAUAGUGUUGCUUGGAUUUUUGUACCUAGUAUUGUGCAAAGGGGUGGGAGUAUAAGUACAAUAAACAUGAACGAUAAAAUAAUAAGGUAAGUAAAUAUGUAAAUGUUAGUACCUCUUCAUUAACUAAUAUUAUUGUUCUGAAAGUCCCUUUAUGCCUUGAAUUCUUGUAAGGUAUUAUUGAACCCCUUCAAAUCACUAAGACUCUCAUCACCGAAUUAACGGACUGUUUUUGUAACUUGUUUAUCGGUACAUUCCAUUUUGCUAGUUCAAUUUCAGUCGUCAUGUGGGCUGGAGCUUGAUGACUACCAUUGGGCGGCAAUGUUAAUUCUAGGCGUUAUUGUGUAUUAGUACCAUUGAUGAGGGCGACAAAUUGUCGAAAUCAACAUGAUUAGGCAGGGAUUUGAUGCAUAAAAGAGGGUAUCAUUAAGAUGUAAAGUGCGGCUAAACUAAGGUUAGAAGUAACAUAUAUAUGUAAAGUAUGUGUUUGAAAUUGCCAGGGUACUGUAUAUGAGCAGGUGAACCAAUAAUAGGCUGUAUAAGUAAUGCUUCACGUUGAGAAACAAAGUUGAUUAGUGGUGUAAAAUAUGUGUUUACAAUUUCCAGGGGACUGUAUGCAAGCAGGUGAACUAAUAAAUAUAUAUUUGCAUUAAUAAAAAUAUUUAUCUCAUAAAAUUAGCUAUUAAAUAAAUAAUAAAAAUUAAACUAAUACAAACUUAGACUGACGUUAUUACAAGACAUAUGAACUUUUCUUUGUCUAAAAUACUGAAAUAUUUAAGAAAUAGUAAAUAAGUUAAACAAAAGGGCAAUGUUUACAUAGUCUAACUAUUUUGAAGAAAACUUUCUAAGAGUCUAAAUCACAUAAGUAUCAUUGAUAAAUAAAGUCAUUCUUUUGUCUUGAGCAUUAAAACAAAUCGUGACAAUUUUCUAAAUUUUGGAAAAAGAUAUUCAGAAGCAUAUAUCUACAUCACAAGAGAAAUUGUUAACAAAAACAAAUGAAUUUAGACUAUAUCAUGUAACUUCAUAUAUUGAAACUGAACGUGACAGUUUUUGUAAAUUUCGGAAUCUAAGGUUAGAUUUAGAAAAGAUUUGGAGACGCUUUUGACGUAUAAGAGUGUGGUAGGAGGUAAUUUAGAUAGAAUUUGUAACAAGAUUGGAGAUGGAAGAUCCAUCAGGGAUGUUGCUUCUUCACUCAUUUCUUACAAAUCUUAGCACUAAUGUUUUGCUUUUUAAAGCGUUUAUUAUAGCAAAGUGGCUUGGUGAUUAAAUUGUUGUAUUUAAGUAUAUUCAAACAUAAGACCAUUAUUCAAUAGUAUGUUUUUUUAAUCAAUUCUACAAUUGUCGAGUUGGUCAAUACUUGUGAAAGAAUUUUCCGGUCAAACUUGUACAAGCGCAAGCAUAUUUGAAAUAAAGAGACUAUUAAAUUGUCAAUGUAUUAGCAACUUAAUUACAAGCAAAACUCAUUCAUUAAUGGAUGUUGAAUUGACUUAAAAUUUGAUCAAACAUAUUUUUAAGUCAAUUUUUAAUUUUUGAAAGUGUUUAACCAAAUAUUAAAAAAAAAAUUAAAAUAAGUUAUAACUAAAAGACUUGAAAGUUCUAUAAAGUUGGUUGUUUUCAACUAUUUUCCGUUUUUAAUAAAUUAUUGGUAUCUUACCUCUUUUAAAUGAAUCAUUUUUUAAUUUCUUGUGUAUGAUUAAUAACUGAACCAAACCCAACUAAAACCAUUAACACAAACCAAUAAACAUAUAAAUUUAACAACUAAUUUAAUUUUUAAUUUUAACCAAUAAUCGACCCAAAUUAAUCUGGGAACACCCCUGCCUAGUACCUACAGUCCUAAUUCUAAACAGAGAAACAGACAUAGGAAAACAAAGUUUUGGAUGAUUUAGAGGCUCAGAUCUGCAAAGAGAUCGGUCGAAAGAGAGGCGACCACGCCAUGGCUGCAAAAUCACCAGUUCUCAGGUGAUUUGCCUAGCCAAGAUACGGAUCGGAUAGUCUCCAUCACCGAUCCAGUUAGCCCAGAAUUCAAAGAAAUCAUCAUCACCGCCUCUAUUUUUAUGCAAAAUCAACCAACAUACAUGCAGAGAGUAACAGAGACAAAAAAAGACCAGAUUAUUGGCAAGUUGAGGGAAUAUAGUAGUAUAUGUAUAUUUGCCAUUUCAAUGAUCCAGUAAUUUCCCAGAAAUUAACAUGAAUCCAAGGGUUGUUGCUUCUUCUUUUUUUGGGAAAAAAGAAAUCAUUGGCUAAACAAGAGAGGGGCAACCACCCUUGUUAACAAAAUUCCUAAACUCUCUGUUUUGCCUCAAUUUUUUUGUUUUCUGGGCUAACUUUUUCUUUGCUGGAAAAGUUGUUUGGUUCUCAACCAAAUAACUUUCCACUUUUUCACUGUGAGUUUUCCUUGUUAUAUGCACAAAAACUGUUCCAUGGAAGAAUCUAGAUGGGUUAUGUGGCAAUAUUUGAGAUAAAAUAUCUGUAUUUGUAUCAAAUUUCAAGUUAUUUGUCUGACUCAGUCAACAGCAUGAGAACUUGUCCCCCAUUAUUAAUUCUAGUGAUUUUUGAGGGAGUCUGAAAUUUAAAUUAGCCACAAAAAGAUAAAAGUGAUCAAAACAAGUUAUUAUUUUAGUAAGUAAUUAAAAUAGGCAUAGUGGAAGAAAAAAAUUUUGUUUUAUGCAAUAUUCAAAAUGUUUUUCGUUAGUCUCAUAAUAUGUAUAUUUUAAUAUAUAAUAAAAUUAUUUUUAACACUUUGUAAAGUGAAAGUUUUUCUUACACUCUAUUAAGUGGAAGAAAAAAAAUCUGUUUUACAAAGAGAAAUAUUUUUCAGGUAUUCUUAUAGGAGAACGUUGUUGACUAGUCUUAGGCUCCUUCCUAACAUAAAUUUAAGUAUGGUUAACUUGAUUUGAUCUAUGUAGUCAAUUUGAACCCUCAAAAAGUCGGUUAACAAUUCGUCAUUAUAGAUAAUUCACUCUCCAAAAUUUACUUGUCCUUGUGAUAAAAAUGAAGUGGUGUAUUUUUCGACAUAAUCAAAUUAUAAUCAAUACUAUUUAUACUCAUUCUUUUAUAAAUUGAUGAAAGAAAUUUAUGAUAUCGGACAUUAAUUUAAUAUUUUGCAUCUAUUUGGGAUGACACUUAUAAUAAACGGUAUUUCCGUCAUGUAUAAUUUCGUCAUCCCAAUAAAUCGAAAUCCUAACUUUUAAUUCAAAAGACAUCUUCUUGUGAUUGAAAUGAAGAAAAAUAGCAAUGUUUGAACGUCCUUAAAUAGAGCUUGGAGGAGUUUUCAAAAUAAAAAAAUAAAAAUACAUAAUGUAAUAAUUUUUUUCGUUUUUAUGAUAUGUCAAAUCAAUAUAAUUGUAUGACAAACACUGCAAAAGUUUCAUAAAAGAGAUACAAUUUAAUGCAAAACGUGAAAAAUAUUCCUCUUUAUAAAACAUAAUUUUUUCUUCCCCUUUAUAAAGUGUAAGAAAAACUUCCACUUUACAAAGUGUAAAAAAUAGUUUUGUUAUAUAUUAAAAUAUACACGUUAUGAGACUAACGGAAAACAUUUGAAAUAUUGCAUAAAACGAAUUUUUUUCUUCCACUAAGCCUAUUUUAGUUACUUACUAGAAUAGUGACUUAUUUUGGUCACUUUUAUUUUUGUGUGGCUUAUUUAGGUUCCGGUAAGUGGUGUUAAGAAGUACAACAUCGAAAAAAGGGAUGAAAAAUUGAUCUCGUUAUAUGGAUUUAGACAAAAUUUCUUCUUAUGAGUUAGCAUUUGAAUUUGAGUUGCUCAAAAUAUAUAUUUACUUGGUAUCAGGGACCGUCAAAAUAAUUUCAAUUUAUUGUUGAACCCCAUAUUAUAAUCUCAAGAGUUUUGAAAAGUGACUUUGAGAUUAAGUUAUACCCAAAAUCCAUCUUCACAACUGGCACCAAUGGGCUCUUCGAUUUAGUGCAGUCAUAUAAAUGAACCUAAUUAUUAACACAUAAUUUUUAGGAUUAAGUUAAUCCCAAGAUUCAUGAGCUAAUUUUGGGAUUGAGUUACUCACUCCAUCUUCUCAAAGUGGCACCAAUAGGCACUUCGGUUCAGUUUUUUUCUGAAAACUCAGUGAUAUAUUUGGGAAUUUUUGUAAUUUAAAAUAAUAAGAGUACCAAAUUGACACAUCUGUCUUUGACUAUGGAUCAAAUAAGGAGAGAAUAUUAACAACUUACAAGCAAAACUCAUUCAUUACAUUACCUUUUCACUAUCGAUCAAAAUAUUUUCCUUUGAUUGCAUUGCAGUAUUUCUCUCUCAGCCUUACUUUGUUAUUUUCUGAAAAUUCCAACUCUUUUUUUCAAUGUUGCUCGAAUUGUCCACGCACUCGAUGUUCAGUAUAGACAUUUUGAAUGCAUAUAUUCUUGUUUAUUGCAGUUGUUACUACCAGAUUUUUUUUGCUUUUGGCAUGUCUAGUAGUACAAUAUAUGUAUGUAUCUAAAAGACUUUCACAACCUCUGCUUCAAAAUUCUUGAGAGAGAAAGAGCUUGAUACAUAGACAGAUGCCACAAAGUUCCCAUCACAGAAAUCAAGCCUUUUCAGAGUUUUCUUCACAGGAUGGUGCAAGAACAAGAAAUCAUCGCGCCACAAGAACAACACCUCUCCAUCCUCAAAAACUUUCAACAGAUUAAUCAUUUCAUAGCACAACCAAUAAUUGUUGCAUUCAGGAGAAAUGUUUAUCACAAUCUGUUUAACCCAUGAAUCAGUAACUCCGUAUUCUUUCAUCACCCGUACCUCAAACUGAGUAUCUACAUUAUUAUCACACACACAUAAACAACGUCCAAAAGCUCCCAAACUUCGUAAAUUUGGGCAAUUUUCCUUAGUGUACCCUGGAGCAGUUGAGAAUGUUUCAAACAACUCAUUCUCCAAAUUAAACGAACAUACUAACUCAUUUCGAUUAGCAUCAGAAACCAACCAAUGAAGUUUUCCAUAUAGUUUCACCCCCUCUACCCAACAUCCAAACCAGAACAUGACAUGCCCUGCACAACUUCUCCAAUACCCUUUCCCAAUUAUGUAAACUUGAGCUUCAGACUUGUAAUAACGAAAAUCAUCAUCGCGAAUUUCCUCUUGGUAAAUUCUAACCACUUUGUACUCGAACCUAACAGGAUCAAAACCGAAGCCAUACCUGACUAUAUUAGGCCACUUUCUUACUCGUUGUGGCUCAGGAAGGAUGAUAUAUUCUCUUGUUGUUGGAUUGAGGAUGUAGAUACUAUCAACAUCACCGAAAAAGUAAUUAAAACAAACAAAACCAUGAACCGAUCCAACGAGGAAAAAUUGAUCAACAGGAAAGUAAAGUUGUAGAUCAAGGUCACCAAUUGGAUCAUGAUCAAAGUUAUCGACUACGAAUUUCAAGAACUUUAAGGUGUUGGUCCUAUUAGAGUUGUAUUGGUGGAUGAUGAUGCUGGCUGGAGAUGCUGAACGUGACAGUUUUAAAAAUUCAGAAUCUAAGGUUAGAUUUAGAAAAGAUUUGGAGAUGCUUUUGACGUAUAAUAGUGAGGUAGGAGGUAAUGUAGAGAGAAUUUGUAACAAGAUUGGAGAUGGAAGAUCCAUCAGGGAUGUUGCUUCAUCACUCAUUUCUUACAACUCUUAGCUACUGAUAUUUUUCUCAAGAAACUAUAUCUCAUCAAAUUUCAGUAUGUUUUUCAAGUUGCGUAAUUCUACAGAAUACUUAUAAUUGUUGAGUUUGUCAACACGUAUGGAAGAAUUAACCACAUAAAUCUUAUCUCUGUAUUGGUCAAUUUUUCUUUUAAUUAGUAUGAAGGGUAUAUAUGCUCUAAUUUUUGGAGGGCAUCAAUG
rnacentral:lncRNA from 1 species